GACCUCAAGUCAUGUGAGAGUACCCGCUGAACUUAAGCAUAUCAAUAAGCGGAGGAAAAGAAACUAACAAGGAUUCCCCUAGUAACGGCGAGUGAAGCGGGAAGAGCACAAAUUUAAAAUCUACCUGGUUUUCAGGUCGAGUUGUAAUUUGAAGAAACGUUUUUGACGUUCCGAGUUGGGAUAAAUCCUUUGGGAUAAGGUAUCAUGGAGGGUGAGAAUCCCGUGUAUACCAACCGCUGGGAUGUUAUUUAAUACGUUUUCUAAGAGUCGAGUUGUUUGGGAAUGCAGCUCUAAAUGGGUGGUAAAUUUCACCUAAUGCUAAAUAUAAGCGAGAGACCGAUAGCGAACAAGUACCGUGAGGGAAAGAUGAAAAGAACUUUGAAAAGAGAGUUAAAUAGUACGUGAAAUUGUUGAAAGGGAAACGAUUGAAGUCAGUCAUGCCGGCGGGAAUCAACUUAGGGGAAACUCUAAGUGCACUUCACGUUUGGCAGGUCAGCGUCGAUUUUGGAUAUCAUAAAAUGAUUGGGGGAAGGUAGCUCCUUCGGGAGUGUUAUAGCCCUUGAUAGAUGUGAUGUCUGGGAUCGAGGAUUGCAACGGAUACCCUCUGGGCUAGCCGCCUGAUCUCUAACUGGUAUUGGGUUACGGACAGCAUGCUGACCGUGAUUUAAUUACUGGUUAAAAGGUUAGAGCGAGUGUAAAUUCGUUAAGGACGUUGACGUAAUGGCUUUAAACGACCCGUCUUGAAACACGGACCAAGGAGUCUAACAUGUGUGCGAGUGUUU
rnacentral:rRNA from 1 species